CCUCCUCCACCCCUCCUGACUCCCAGUGCGCCGUCUGUCUGGACCGGAUCGUGCACGCCGUGUGCCGUAACCUGGCGGGUGGUGCGCAGGUGAUGAUGGAGGCUGGAGGAGAGCAGGUCAGAAUCUCAAAGAGCGGAUGUCCCACACACCCCCCUGAUGAUGGUCCACAAUUGCAGCUGUCCGUUGCCAUCAUCAUCAUCAUCAUCA